ACUUAAAUUGAAGAGUUUGAUCAUGGCUCAGAUUGAACGCUGGCGGCAGGCCUAACACAUGCAAGUCGAGCGGUAGCACAGAGAGCUUGCUCUCGGGUGACGAGCGGCGGACGGGUGAGUAAUGUCUGGGAAACUGCCUGAUGGAGGGGGAUAACUACUGGAAACGGUAGCUAAUACCGCAUAACGUCGCAAGACCAAAGUGGGGGACCUUCGGGCCUCAUGCCAUCAGAUGUGCCCAGAUGGGAUUAGCUAGUAGGUGGGGUAACGGCUCACCUAGGCGACGAUCCCUAGCUGGUCUGAGAGGAUGACCAGCCACACUGGAACUGAGACACGGUCCAGACUCCUACGGGAGGCAGCAGUGGGGAAUAUUGCACAAUGGGCGCAAGCCUGAUGCAGCCAUGCCG
rnacentral:rRNA from 1 species